rnacentral:rRNA from 1 species
GGGCUCAGUUCGGAUUGUGGGCUGCAACUCGCCCACAUGAAGUCGGAAUCGCUAGUAAUGCCGUAUCAGCUACGACGGCGUGAAUACGUUCCCGGGUCUUGUACACACCGCCCGUCACAUCAUGGAAGCCGAUCACACCCGAAGUGCAUGCGCUAACUUCGGAGGCAGUGCCCUAAGGUGAGAUUGGUAACUGGGAUGAAGUCGUAACAAGGUAGCCGUAGGGGAACCUGCGGCUGGAUCACCUCCUUU